UGCCCGUGCGUUUAUAUGGGUGUGGUACCAAGUGUAUCUUGUUUACCUUAUCUUUCUGUGGAAAAAGUUUUGAAGUUUGGUCGGGUUUGUCACAUCAUGCCCGUUGCCUAGUACCCCCCGAAGUGUUCUUAUUUAGCAAAAAGACUGGAUAGGUGGGAGGUUGUGGCUUGGC
ensembl:misc_RNA